rnacentral:rRNA from 1 species
GUCCACGCCCUAAACGGUGGGCACUAGGUGUAGGGCUCGUAAGGGUUCUGUGCCGAAGGGAAACCAUUAAGUGCCCCGCCUGGGGGAGUACGGCCGCAAGGUUGAAACUCAAAAGGAAUUGACGGGGGCCCGCACAAGCGGUGGAGCAUGUGGUUUAAUUCGACGCAACGCGAAGAACCUUACCUGGGCUUGACAUGUGAGUGGUAGGAAACUGAAAAAGGGACCGACCCGUAGCAAAUACGGGAGCUCAUGCAGGUGCUGCAUGGCUGUCGU